AAAUAUCCAACAGGACAGAGGACAAACAGAGCAACAGAAGCAGGGUAUUGGAAGGCAACAGGCAAAGAUAAAGAGAUAUUCAGGUCAAAAACAUUGGUUGGUAUGAAGAAAACUCUUGUUUUCUAUAAAGGAAGAGCACCUAGAGGAGAAAAAACCAAUUGGGUCAUGCAUGAAUAUAGAUUAGAUGGCAUAAAGGAAGAGCACCUAGAGGAGAAAAAACAAAUUGGGUCAUGCAUGAAUAUAGAUUAGAUGGCAAAUAUUCAGUCCACAACCUUCCUAAAUCUGCCCAGGUAAAAAAAUCAUCAAAAACGUGCUUUUUCUUCCCUGUUUAAGGUUGUUUCUCGUCACUCUGCGGAUUUAGGAUUUAAUCUUUAUGAGUUGAAGUCCAGAUUUCAUUGAAGAUUCAGAGUUUUUACAUAGAAGAAUCAACCUAAAUAACUGCUCAUUCAACCACGUAAACAAACAAUAGCCAACAGAUGUAUAUAUAUAUGUAUAAUUCACGUAGAAUAUGUGUAAAAUCGGAUACAAUCAGUGUAUAAUCAAUGUAUUCCGGCUAUAAAAAGUAAAUUGAAUCGUUGACAAUAUUCUGAUUUUUCCCUUUUUUCUGCAGAAUGAAUGUGUGAUUUGCAGAGUUUUCAAGAAAACUUCAGGAGGGAAAAAGAUAGCAAU
rnacentral:lncRNA from 1 species